CUAAGAUCUACUCUGUGAGGCCUUUAUUCCUGUCUCCUCUCAAGGGGCGCCAUCUCUUCCGGAACAAGUGCACACACUUGUUCAUGAGACUAGAAGCCUUGAGAACGUGCGGUGCUGAUCACUGAGGAACCACCAGGAGAAGUUAUCUGGAUUGACGGACCAUAGGGCUUUUCUUUCUCUGGAGGAGCCCCAGGCCAACCAGGCAGUUCCUGGCCCACCAAGGAUGCUGCACAGGGCACACCACCAAGGAUCCAUGAGUUAGUUCAACCACCCCCUCUCCUCCCACCAAAAAGCAAGCCAGCCUGGCUCAAGUACAAAGCCCAGGUUUCCAGCUAUGAUACCCCAGUUAUCUGAGCUUCAUUCAAUUCAGUAGACAGGGUUGCUGCUGAGCAUUUCCUACGAUCUCCAGUCACCUGUCAGAAGAGACGUGGGCCUACUUUACAGCAAAGAUACUGAUGCUCCUAGGUGGUAAGCCCUGUGCUCCAGGCUGAAGUCUCAACACUGGCUGGAACCCAGGCUCUUGGACUUCAUAUUCUUUGCCCACACUCUAGAGCUUGCAGCAACAACCCCCCACUCCCC
rnacentral:lncRNA from 1 species